rnacentral:rRNA from 1 species
CGGGCCGGUUCUAAGUAUAGCACUAUACGGUGAAACUGCGAAUGGCUCAUUAAAUCAGUUAUCGUUUAUUUGAUAGUACCUUACUACAUGGAUAACCGUGGUAAUUCUAGAGCUAAUACAUGCUAAAAACCCCGACUUCGGGAGGGGUGUAUUUAUUAGAUAAAAAACCAAUGCCCUUCGGGGCUCAAUGGUGAAUCAUAAUAACUUAACGAAUCGCAUGGCCUUGCGCCGGCGAUGGUUCAUUCAAAUUUCUGCCCUAUCAACUUUCGAUGGUAGGAUAGUGGCCUACCAUGGUAUCAACGGGUAACGGGGAAUUAGGGUUCUAUUCCGGAGAGGGAGCCUGAGAAACGGCUACCACAUCCAAGGAAGGCAGCAGGCGCGCAAAUUACCCAAUCCCGACACGGGGAGGUAGUGACAAUAAAUACUGAUACAGGGCUCUUUUGGGUCUUGUAAUUGGAAUGAGUACAAUUUAAAUACCUUAACGAGGAACAAUUGGAGGGCAAGUCUGGUGCCAGCAGCCGCGGUAAUUCCAGCUCCAAUAGCGUAUAUUAAAGUUGUUGCAGUUAAAAAGCUCGUAGUUGAACCUUGGGCCUGGCUGGCCGGUCCGCCUCACCGCGUGUACUGGUCCGGCCGGGCCUUUCCUUCUGGGGAACCGCAUGCCCUUCACUGGGCGUGUGUGGGAACCAGGACUUUUACUUUGAAAAAAUUAGAGUGUUCAAAGCAGGCCUUUGCUCGAAUACAUUAGCAUGGAAUAAUAGAAUAGGACGUGUGGUUCUAUUUUGUUGGUUUCUAGGACCGCCGUAAUGAUUAAUAGGGAUAGUCGGGGGCAUCCGUAUUCAAUUGUCAGAGGUGAAAUUCUUGGAUUUAUUGAGACGAACUACUGCGAAAGCAUUUGCCAAGGAUGUUUUCAUUAAUCAGUGAACGAAAGUUAGGGG